GACGAACGCUGGCGGCGUGCUUAACACAUGCAAGUCAAACGGAAAGGCCCUGCUUGCAGGGUGCUCGAGUGGCGAACGGGUGAGUAACACGUGGGUGAUCUGCCCCUUACUUUGGGAUAAGCCUGGGAAACUGGGUCUAAUACUGGAUAGGACCAUGCUGUAGGUGGUGUGGUGGAAAGAUUAGUUUCGGUAAGGGAUGAGCUCGCGGCCUAUCAGCUUGUUGGUGGGGUAAUGGCCUACCAAGGCGUCGACGGGUAGCCGGCCUGAGAGGGUGGACGGCCACAUUGGGACUGAGAUACGGCCCAGACUCCUACGGGAGGCAGCAGAGGGGAAUAUUGCACAAUGGGCGCAAGCCUGAUGCAGCGACGCCGCGUGGGGGAUGACGGCCUUCGGGUUGUAAACUCCUUUCAGCCAUGACGAAGCCCUUGUGGUGACGGUAGUGGUAGAAGAAGCACCGGCUAACUACGUG
rnacentral:rRNA from 1 species